AUGUCUGCUAGACAAUGCUUGGGUGAGUUUGAUAAUUUUAUUGUUAAACAAGAAAACUUCAAUGCUUAUGUUAGUAGACAAUUGAAACAUAAUGCUUAUAUGCUUGAUCACUUGAGUAAUUAUAUGAAUAGUACUGUUAAUGAUCUUAAGCUUAUUAGUAAACAUGUUUCCAUGGUUACUACUCAAGUAGAACAAGUACUUAAAGCUCAAGAUGAAUUGCUUAAUGAGUUGAAUAGUAAGAAUAAUGAUAACGCCGUUAGGGUUAUGACUAGAGGUGGUAAAAUGACCCAGGAACCUUUGUAUCCUGAGGGCCAUCCUAAGAGAGUUGAGCAAGAUUCUCAGAGAAUUAAUACUGACGCACCUAGUCCUAGUAAUAAAAGGAAAAAGAAAACUGACAUGACUGUGCAUGCUAGUGAACCUGCUAUAGACACACCUGAGAAUCCUAAUGAUAUUUCUAUUUCUGAUACUAAGACACAAUCUGGUGAUGAACAUGAACCUAGUGAUAAUGUUAAUAAUGAUGUUCAUGUUGAUGCUCAACCUAGUAAUGAUAAUGAUGUAGAGAUUGAACCGGUUGUUGAUCUUGAUAACCCACAAUCAAAGAACCAACGUUAUGAUAAGAGAGACUUCGUUGCUAAGAAACAUGGUAAGGAAAGAUAA
rnacentral:rRNA from 1 species